rnacentral:rRNA from 1 species
UACGUAGGGUGCGAGCGUUGUCCGGAAUGAUUGGGCGUAAAGGGCGCGUAGGCGGCGCGGUAAGUCUGGAGUGAAAGUCCUGCUUUCAAGGUGGGAAUUGCUUUGGAUACUGCCGCGCUUGAGUGCAGGAGAGGUUAUCGGAAUUCCCGGUGUAGCGGUGAAAUGCGUAGAGAUCGGGAGGAACACCAGUGGCGAAGGCGGGUAACUGGACUGCAACUGACGCUGAGGCGCGAAAGUGUGGGGAGCAAACAGGAUUAGAUACCCUGGUAGUCCACGCCGUAAACGAUGAAUGCUAGGUGUAAGAGGUAUCGACCCCUUUUGUGCCGGAGUCGACACAAUAAGCAUUCCGCCUGGGGAGUACGGCCGCAAGGUUGAAACUCAAAUGAAUUGGCGGGG